rnacentral:lncRNA from 10 species
GACCUGCUGGCAAAUCCCCAUGGCUCCAGCACCAGGCCUGUCUGGCUCCUGAACCUCUGACCUACUGCUGCUCAUCCAUAUCUAUCUCCUGAGACCUCGAGACAUGAAUCCACCUUGGUGUGCCUUCAGCCAAAAGCAGAACUGGAAACAUCCUAAGUGGGCCGGUAACGAGGCUAGCUCUGUCGACUAGUUCAAGACCCCUGAGCGCUUUGGGCCUGAGGUUCCUCAGCUUCCAAGUGAAAGGCUUCGACUUGGCAUUCUAAGAGACAAUCUCUGUGACCAUCAGUUUCCUCAUCUGUAAAACUGGCAUCAUGAUAACUUUGAAGGUAAUUGUGAAGAUUAAAGGGAGUCAUGCAUGUAAACCA